GAAUGAAAAUUGUAUUUAUUAUUCAUGUAAAGAAAUCCACAGAUAUUUCCAAGACAGUUUGCUAUCCAUCCUGAUGAGUGCAACAGCUCAGGCCUCAUUAGGUGAUUGAGGCUAAUUAACUGUAAACAUGAGUCAUAUUACUUUUUUCUUCCAUGCAGUUUAAUUCUAAACAUCCCUGUCUGACCCAGACAGCCCCGUUACUCAUAUAUUUGACACUAAAGGCAUUAUAAGCAAGAAGAUGUAAACAGGAUUGAACGUCCCUGUGCCGUUGGAGAGAUCCUGAUUUUUUUGGAAGCGACGGCGCGCACGUGACGGAGCGGAGCUGCCGCGCUCACGAGCCGUUCGUUAAACCCAAGGACGACGGAGAACCAAACCGAGCCGGCUGAGACUCAUCACGGGGAAGAAACAGAGGUUUUCUCGUCAGAAAUAUUCAAGAGGAGACACGGAGACGAUGGACGGUUAUGGGCUUUCGGAUGACGAGCUUUUCUCCUCCUGUCUGCUCAACUUCACCUGCGAGGAUUCAUCUGAGCAGACUCCCACUGAAGUGCAAGAUGCUUUCUGGAUCUUUCUCAAAUCAUGCUGGAGAACAAUUUGUUGUGCCUGUCAAAACGGUCCAUUUUGUAAUUAUGCUUUUCGCUGCCUGUAAAGUCUCUUCUCUGUGUCAAGUACAAUCUGUUCUGAGGAACGAGUGCCACUGCUGGGAAAGACUGGAAAACAAAGAAAGAAAUUGGCAAACCAUGUCUGGGCUUCAUGUUGACACGUCUGUUUGUAUGACUUGUUCUGCUGGUCUUCGGCCUCACAGUGCAGACAGAUGUUUUAUUCAUAUGAAGACGGGCUCUGCGUUGUUGGAUAAAUUGGCCGUCUCGUGAAGGAGUGCCAGUGAACUUGUCAGGCUGCACAGGGAAUUUCCAAACCCGGCGACCCACAUUGAGCUAAAGACUGGACAAGCUUCCCGCUGAGAGAGCAGAGCACAACAUUAAACAUAAAAGCAUCUCACUUCUUCAGAAUGAAAGGAUUUUAAUAGAGGCUUCAACUGGACAAUAAAUAGUCAGUUAAUUCUGUAAUAAACUUAUAUCUAUAAAAAAUAAAAAAAUAAGCCACUGUAUGUAAUAAUAUUACUUGUUUUUCUUGAGAGAAGCAUAAAACAACGAUAACUACUGUACGUAAAGCAAGGACUGUUCUAAUAACAGGAAUUAUUAGAAAUUAUAUUGUGGAUGAG
ensembl:lncRNA